UCGUGCAUUUGGGGGGCAGAACGAGUUCCUUACGCAGGGACAGAAGGAUGGGGCGAUUUCUUUUUCUACUCUGAGCGGGGUGUGUUUGCAUCUCUACUUUUUUUCUUCUCCAUGCAGGGGCAAGUGGGGUCAUGUACGAAGACCCGGCGCCCAUACAAUAGCGCUUUCUUCUUCUCCAUGCGGGGACAGGUGGGGUCGCGUAUGAAGACCCGGCGUCCAGACUCUAGUGCCCAGAUCGGACGUCCGGGCGCUAGUAGUACCGAAAGUCAAUUCAAUAAGCGCCCAAAACUAAGGCAUGCAGCCAACCUGGGCCUGGGCUGCGCUGGUCUUUCAGCCGGCCCAGAAGCAGGCGGGUUUUGCUCGCAGACACAUAUAAGCGGUGUGCCCCAAACCCUAGCCUCGCUUGCCGUCGCUUACUCCACAGGAGCAGCCGCCUCCGCCUCGCCUAUCUUCUGUCCUUCUCUGUCUCAAACUCGUCGGCGUGGGGCUCUCAGCAACGGAGUCUGCCUUUGUUCGUAUCUACUUCAGCUGCGGCGCCAUGGCUUGCUGCGCCUGGCAGCGGCAGCGUCUACGGCGACCUCUUGGCCCUCCGUCACCACCAUUGCUUGGCAUCUUGCUUGCUAGUCGGCGGAUGGACAGGAUCUAUGAUGGCCAGCCUGGAUCAAGUUAAUGGAUGGUGAGCAGUAGCGCGUGGGGCGGAUCCGGUGCGGACGAAAGGUGGCAUGAAGAGCAGUAAUCCCGUUCGUGCAGGGAGCGCCCCCAUCAAUUUUUUCCCCAGAUUAAGAAGGUUUUCCUCAAGCAUCUUUAUUUUAUAUCACAAAGAAAUCUGGCAAGGGUGCCAACUGAUUCUGAAAGAGCAUUGGCCUUGGCUCCAAAGACUCCCAGGGAAGCAAUUGAAGGUUUUGUUGAAGCCGAAGAACCCUCCUCAUGCAAGUAUUGAAUGGCUGGUAGUGCAAAAUAGGCUAAAUCUUUGUAUACAUAGCAUUAAUGAUGUAACUUCAGUGGCGUGUGUAACAUGAUCUCUUAAGUGAGGUUUCCUUGUAUUUAUCGACAUGGAUCUAUUGUUUAUGCUUGUUAUUCGAA